rnacentral:tRNA from 1 species
ACCUGGCUGGCUCAGUCGGUAGAGCAUGUGACUCUUGAUCUGGGGGUUGUGAGUUCAAGCCCCAUGUUGGGCA